rnacentral:misc_RNA from 1 species
AAGUCGUAACAAGGUCUCCGUAGGUGAACCUGCGGAGGGAUCAUAUUAUGGAUUUAUAGCUCUGGGUUAAGUUAUACUAGGUUAGGUUAUACUAGGCUAUGUUAUACUAGGCUAGGGCUAAAAACAGAAGAGCAUAUAUAUUUGAGGGAAGGGUGUUGUUGUAGAAACAACAGCCUUUUUAAAAUUGGUUUAUAAAAAAGACAUUUAUUAUAUAAUGGAAAUCAAAACAACUUUUAACAACGGAUCUCUAGGCUCUU